AAUUGGCACCUGCUGGGCACUCUCAGGCCUCCGAUUGGCUCCCCAUGGCCGUGCCGGAUCCGGGUCGAAGUACAAGGAAGUGGCAGCGGCCACGCCGGACCCUAUCGAAUCCGUGUGCGCCGCUCGCCCCGGUGAAGCAGUGCGCAUGCGCGGAGUCAGCGACCCCCUCCCCGCCAGCUGUCAUCAUAUUGCUGCAGCACUCCCCGCCGGGUGUCUGCUGGGGUCGCAGGCCUGCCACAUGUCCCGAGGACGGUCCUGGCUGGGAUUGUCACAUGGCGUCAGGGCUCCAGCGGGUCAUGGGUGAUUUUGCCUCAUGAGAUCACACCUCCCGGGCAGCAUUGGUGUCAUGCAAAUUAUGUUGGCUCCUUGUCUGAGCAUCUUGUUAGGACUGCCUGUAUGCUGUGUAUCUUUAGAAAAUGGUUUGCUGAGGACACUGACAGUGGGCUGGCUGCCUUGGGAGCAUUUCAGAUGCGAUACCAAUUGCAAAACGGAUCCUGAAAAUUGCAUCAGGUGAGAUAACGUAUUUCCAAGAAGGCUACAAAAGUUCCAAAUAUACACAGGCAGGGCUCCCUGCUCCACCCUUGGGGUCGCUCCGAGUUCACCGGCACUGUUUCUAGCCCAGGUGAGCCCCUGAUCAAAAGUAUGGGAGACAGGAUGGAAGAAGAUGGAUAGAAGGAGCUUGGUUAUAAGUAUGUGAACCUUGAUGACUGCUGGUCUGCAGUGCAAGGGGAUUCACAAGGCAUGCUUUAGCCAGACUCUGAAAGGUUUCCAAGUGGCAUUAAAUCCCUUGCUGAUUACAAGUGCUGAUGAUAUUUUAACAAGCAAGAUCUAAUAUGGGAGCCUCGUUGCCCAUUUAAAUUUCCACCAGGCAAUACUGUACUGAAGGACACUUCUGAUUUUGCAGUACUCCUACUCAGCAAUUUCUUCUGGUGUGUCAACCACGGAAAAUUAUGGAGUAAGAACAAAAGGAAAGGAGGGGAAAGAGUGAGCAGGGGCAUUAGAGAAUAAGUGGUAUGUAAUCUGUUCAGCAUUUUGGAAUGACAGAAGCAGUAGCAGCACAAAUUUUGAUCAUAUCCAAGAUUCCUGGGACAGGGUUCUAGGCGUCAUUGAGUGGUGUGGAGACAACCAGGAUGAACUGUAGCCUGCAGCUGGUCCAGGAAGAUGGAAUUAUCCAGAUAUAGUGAAAUGAUCUUUUUAAUUAAAUCAUUUCCCCCCUUCUGUUAAAGUUAAAACAGAUUUUGACAAAAUGCUAAUUCAGUUACACUUUCAAGAACCAUAUUGCUCAACCAGUUGGCAGUGCUGAUGCUGCUCAUUUGUGCAUGGAGAAAAAGUGUCUGGUAAUUAUAAAAGAAGACUGAGACUGAGAACUCUUGGGUUCUAGCCCUAACUUUGUCACUGACUUACUGCCUGGCUGUUUGCCUCAGUGUGGCCAUCUGUAAAAUCUGUAGUUCUGUUAGAGGUACACAUAGCCAUCAGUUGUUAAGAUUGUAAAUCUUUGCAAGCCUGAUGUUGGAUGUAAAUGCACUUAAAUUUCCAGGAAAAAAAUCUUUGUCAGAAAUCACUAAUGGAUCUCUAGCUAAAGUGUCUUAAGUUUAAUGUACAAUUUUCUCUCUACUAAGGAUUUUUUAAUGUUCUAUUUUUAAUUUUUGCAUUUGUUAGAUGGUCUCAGUACAAUUUACAGAAGAUAUUGUACAUGAAUGAAAAGUGCUACCUUUUAUUAUAAAAGAUAUAUAGACUUGGUCAUUUGGAACACUUGGGCUCCUUAAUUGUAUUAAAAAAAAAUCUAAUAGUCAUCUUUUCUUUAACCUCCACAGCCCAGAUAAUAAAUCCCUCCAUAGUCUUGUCUAGCAGUCAAGUGAAAACUUGUCAAGAAAAAUGAGCCUUGCAAUGUGCCCUCAGCACCAGUAAAGCUAGGCUCUAAUCUAGAGGGCCAUUGGAGGGAGCAAGUUAUAAGAUAGCUUUCAUGAUGACUGUCUUGCCUCCUGUUCUCCAGAGUUCAAGUGCAAGGAAUGUCAACAGGCUCAUUAUAGAUGAUUUCCACCCACAUAGUGGUAGUUAAGAAGAGAAGGAUUUUCUCAAGUAGCAAGACUUCAAAUUUGAUAGGAUUAAUUAUUAGAAGCUGUUUAAUUUUAAAUGUCAUCUUCCAGAAGACUGAAAGUCAGUGCAAAGAAUGGAGCUUAGGCAUUCUUUGCCAGUAUCAAGCUACAACUCAUUAAGGACUUACUAGAGUAUCUGGAGUCUUACAAGGAAAAUGAGUAAAGUAUAUUGCAUACUGCAAGUGCUCAUUAUUGCCUCAGUAUAAAUAGAGGGCCUGGAACUUCUGUAUAUACUACUUAUUGCUUAAAUUCAAAGGCCCAGAUCCUGGCCCAUGCUAAGUUCACUUUGAGUCCGCUAUGCAGUGAAAUAGAACAGGGGUAGUGAAUGAUUGCACUGGUAUAAAAUAAUCUUCAGAGGACACUGGCUUUACUGCCUCCAUUCUAUGCAAGGUAGGACAAGGUAUGUUUGAUCAGCAGGGCCAGAGCAUGACACUUAAUCUGAAGAGGCUGUUCCAUAACUUGCUGUUAUAAUUGUAGCAAUUUAUAGAACUCAUUGGGAUUGUAAAGGCAUCAAAAUUCAAGGGAGUUACUACAUUUUGACCAUGGAAACUAACAGUUGCAUUGAAGUGAUUGACAAUUCUAUCCUAUCAACAUAAAUCACAUUGUUUAUAAGCCAUAUUGCUUACUACCCUCUGGUGGAAUAUCGGAGAAAAGGAUGUCUUGAAACCCACCAGUGCCUCAUAAUAAGGAGAUAUCCGGCCUCCUUACUUAGCCAGUUGUAUCUGGCCAUUGUUUCCAGCUGCAGCUAUAAACUGGAGUUCAGAUGGAGUGGAUAGAUGCAAAUUGAAGGUUAUGUUCAAGAUACAAAUUCAAAGUCAGGAUGAGUUACUUAUCCCCCACCACUUCUGUGUUUGUUUCCCUCUGAACAUUUAGUAUCACCUCACUAUUCUAUCCUUCUCUGUGAAAGUUUCCUGAGAAUUUUCUAUCUGCUUCUGCUGGGUAGAAGAGUAGAACAUCUUCCAAGUGUGAAAAUAGGCCUAUGGCUAAAAACCACUUAAAAUGGAAGGAAAAAUGUGGUAUUUAACCCACUAGGGCUGUGCAAGUCUUCGGAUCAUGCUUCAGAUCCAGUACCACUUUGGAUGCUUCAGCA